GCUUUCGUGGUGUAAUGGUAGCACACUCGACGCGUAUUCGAGAGGUCCAGGUUCGAGUCCCGGCGAGGGAA
rnacentral:tRNA from 1 species